rnacentral:rRNA from 1 species
AGUGAGGAAUAUUGCACAAUGGGCGCAAGCCUGAUGCAGCGACGCCGCGUGGGUGAAGAAGGUUUUCGGAUCGUAAAACCCUUUUCUGUGUGACGAGCAAGGACGGUAGCACAGGAAUAAGUCUCGGCUAACUACGUGCCAGCAGCCGCGGUAAAACGUAGGAGACAAACGUUAUCCGGAGUUACUGGGCGUAAAGGGCGUGUAGGUGGUUGUGUAAGUUCGGCGUGAAAUUUCUCGGCUUAACCGGGAGAGGUCGUCGGAUACUGCACGACUAGAGGACGGUAGAGGCGUGUGGAAUUCCGGGUGUAGUGGUGAAAUGCGUAGAGAUCCGGAGGAACACCAGUGGCGAAGGCGACACGCUGGGCCGUACCUGACACUGAGGCGCGAUAGCAUGGGGAGCAAA